CCACCCUGUAUAUAUAUAUAUAUAUACAACGUGGAAACAUUGACGAAUUUAAAAAUUUCGAUCUUUCUUCGAGAUAUACCGCUAAAAGGUUUACAUUCAAAAAUAUAAUUGAUUUUACAAACGUCAUUACCAAUUAUUAUAACAAGUUGUUGCAAAAUUUGCUUAGUUAUAUUCAAAAAUAUUCAUAAAUUCAAGUAAAAAAGUGUUUAUCUCGCGAGAAAUGAUGAUCGAAAAGAUGUCAUAUCGAUGUCGAAUCGAUGUGAGGUUGUACUAGCCUCACUUUUGUGUCUCCGGCCGUACAUGUUGCUGCGUGUCUCUGGUCACAUCACUUUGAUCUAAGGAUCACUAUAAAGAAAGUUUAUAGCGCAACCUAAACUAUUUCUCAUUGCUGCAGAUAUUUAUAUACAUAUAUGUACUUUGAGUACGCAUACAGUAUUAAUAUACUGAUUGGAUGACUUA